CGGCGAGUGAACAGGGAAAAGCCCAGCACCGAAGCCUGUGGUCAUUUGAUCACUAGGCAAUGUGGUGUUCAGGUCGUUCCGUUGAGGUACUGCUCCACCCUAAGUCCAACAAUGAGUACGGUAGUACGGACAUGGCCCACAGAGGGUGAAAGGCCCGUGGGGGUGGAGAUCAGGCAGGCCAGUACCUCACUGGGUAGACCUUGGAGUCGGGUUGUUUGUGAAUGCAGCCCAAAGCGGGUGGUAAACUCCAUCCAAGGCUAAAUACUUGCACGAGUCCGAUAGCGAACAAGUACCGUGAGGGAAAGUUGAAAAGUACUUUGAAGAGAGAGUAAACAGUGCGUGAAACCGCUCAGAGGUAAACGGGUGGAGUUGAACUGCAAGCUUUGAGAAUUCAGCUGGUGAGGGUGGUUUGAGCUUGGUCAAGUUGGUUGGACAUUGAGGUCUGCGUAGUAGCAGGUCCCUGCUCUCGGGUGGGGAUGCGCGAUACACUUACCAAGUGUUGUGCGCCUUUUUGUUUAUCGGGCUGACUCGCCAGUGCACUUUCUCAGAGUGUUCACCACGAUCGGCACUGCUGUCUGGCUGUUGCGGUUAAACCGGGCUUACAUCGUCCUUGUGGCUUUGCAUUUCCGGGAAGGCAGGUAGCUCGUUGGCUAGCUUGUAGUUUACUGCAAGCACAUGGUCUUCGUGUGUAAUCAGCUGACCGUGAUAGUUCUGUGCGGUGUGUCGGAGACAGCGGCUUGUGAUGCGUGCGUGCGUGCCUGKUUCGCUGGCGUGUCCGGGUUUGGUCAUCAUGUUGCCUGUAUGUGCAGGCCUGGUGGUAGCUCGGGCUCGUUCGGUGGGCGGUUGCGUGCGUGGUAUUGUUAUAUGGCCAACAGUCUGUGGUGUAGUGGUAGACUAUCCACCUGACCCGUCUUGAAACACGGACCAAGGAGAGUAACAUGUGCGCGAGUCAUUGGGCGUAACGAAACCCACAGGCGCAGUGAAAGUAAAGGUCUGGCUUGUCUAGACUGAGGUGAGAUCCUGUCGUUUUCACGCAUGGUACCACCAAGCAUCGAGCGGCAGGCGCAUCACCGGCCCGUCCCAUGACGUAGACACGGUCUUCGGAUCGGUGCACCGUCGGGGCGGAGCAUGAGCGUACAUGUUGAGACCCGAAAGAUGGUGAACUAUGCUUGCGCAGGUUGAAGCCAGAGGAAACUCUGGUGGAGGACCGCAGCGAUUCUGACGUGCAAAUCGAUCGUCAAACGUGAGUAUAGGGGCG
rnacentral:rRNA from 1 species